rnacentral:misc_RNA from 1 species
AACACUGUUAACCUGCGGUACCUGCGGAAGGAUCAUUAUAGUAUAUGGAAUCUCCAUUCUAUAAACCCACUCUGCGUAUCUUGUAACUGUUGCUUCCAUGGGACUUGGUUCCGCCACACCGGCUUCACGGCUGGUGAGCGCCCGUGGAAGGAGAAACAAAACUCUUCUUUGAAAUGUAGUCAGUCUGAACAAGUUUUUAUAAACGUUAAAACUUUUAACAACGGAUCUCAGAUCGGAAGA